CCUACGGGUGGCUGCAGUGGGGAAUAUUGCACAAUGGGGGAAACCCUGAUGCAGCGACGCCGCGUGAGUGAAGAAGUAAUUCGUUACGUAAAGCUCUAUCAGCAGGGAAGAAAAUGACGGUACCUGAGUAAGAAGCCCCGGCUAACUACGUGCCAGCAGCCGCGGUAAUACGUAGGGGGCAAGCGUUAUCCGGAUUUACUGGGUGUAAAGGGAGCGUAGACGGUGCGCCAAGUCUGGAGUGAAAACCCAAAGCUCAACUAUGGGAAUGCUUUAGAAACUGCUCAGCUAGAGUGCAGGAGAGGCAAGUGGAAUGCUUAGUGUAGCGGUGAAAUGCGUAGAUAUUAGGAGGAACACCAGUGGCGAAGGCGGCUUGCUGGACUGUAACUGACACUGAGGCUCGAAAGCGUGGGGAGCAAACAGGAUUAGAUACCCCAGUAGUC
rnacentral:rRNA from 1 species